GGAAAACCUGAAGUGAUGGUCCUGCUUGCUGGCCUCUCUGAUCUUUGGCAUUUACACUUUUGCCUUCAGGCAGGUAUCUGGACAAGAAGAUCCAACCUAUGAGUGGGAGGAGAAGGCAGGGAUCUGACCAGGAAGGUGACUUGUGGUGGUGCUUGAACUCCUACAGCUUGACCAAAUAGACACAGAUCAGGAGAACAGAGGAAACUCCUGACUCUUCAAGUCCCGCUGCUACAUGGUCUCCUAGAAGAAGCACCAAGUGCAAAGAAUGAGCUUGGAGGGGUGGUGGUAGUUGCUAAAGGCCAAAAACCAUGCCAGCAUCCAUUGUAGUGACAUAGUGCUAUAGAUAAACAAUCUUCAGUGUC